rnacentral:rRNA from 1 species
UGGGGAAUAUUGCGCAAUGGGCGAAAGCCUGACGCAGCGACGCCGCGUGAGGGAUGAAGGUCUUCGGAUCGUAAACCUCUGUCAGAAGGGAAGAAAUUACGUCGUGCUAAUCAGCGGCGUAUUGACGGUACCUUCAAAGGAAGCACCGGCUAACUCCGUGCCAGCAGCCGCGGUAAUACGGAGGGUGCGAGCGUUAAUCGGAAUCACUGGGCGUAAAGCGCGCGUAGGCGGCCUUGUAAGUCAGGGGUGAAAUCCCACGGCUCAACCGUGGAACUGCCUUUGAUACUGCUUGGCUAGAAUCCAGGAGAGGGUGGCGGAAUUCCAGGUGUAGGAGUGAAAUCCGUAGAUAUCUGGAGGAACAUCAGUGGCGAAGGCGGCCACCUGGACUGGUAUUGACGCUGAGGUGCGAAAGCGUGGGGAGCAAACA